rnacentral:rRNA from 1 species
GCAUCCCUACAACAUAGAGUUAAUUCAUGGGAUCCCAUUAUAACUCCACAGUUAAGCGCUCUUGGGAUAAAGUAGUAUUGGGAUGGGUGAAAGCCUGGGAAGUCCUAGUAUUUUAUAUGCC